CGUCAUCCAGCCCAAGACCAUGCAGAUUGAGGCGAGUGCUGGCCAGGGGCCCCGGGGAGGGGAAGAGGCUCCUGCCGGCCAGCAGCUCUCCCGCAUCUUCCAUACAGAAGUCCAUGAGUUCCUAUGUGGGUCCCAUCUCCCCCGUACCACCUAUGACUCAGGCUCGAACAGGCGCAAAGCAGGCGCUGGCCUGGGAGGUCUGAGGGAGCUGCAGGUGGCCCUGGGGCUCCCCACUUCCUCUUCUCUCCCCAGCCCUAUUGAUGGGCAGCCAUGACUCCACAGAAGUCAUUUGACGCCCACCCACGGCGGGAGAGCCAGGUGCGGCAGCUGGCAUGGAUCGGCGAUGGCGUAUGGGUGUCCAUCCGCCUGGACUCCACCCUGCGGCUCUACCACGCACACACGCACCAGCAUCUACAGGACGUGGACAUCGAGCCGUACGUCAGCAAGAUGCUAGGUGAGGGGCCACGCCAGGUGGGGUGGUGGGGGGCUCAAGGCCAGCCGCCCUGACCGCUCUCCCCCACAGGCACUGGCAAGCUGGGUUUCUCCUUCGUACGCAUCACGGCCC
rnacentral:sRNA from 1 species